CAGAAAAACACAAGUGACCUGAAAAUCCCAAACAGAAUAUGAUCCGCAAAGUGGAUCAUAACAGAUAUCUUGCUUUGCUAUUUCCAUGACUGUAAAUAUGCAGCACAACUCAAUAGUUGAUGUACUUUAGAAAGGAUGUGGACAACAUCAAUGAUACUUAAUAUCUUCUGGAUGUUGUGCUUGCCUUUUCAUAGGAGUCUUUAGGUGAGAGAUUUCAACCAUUUCCUAAAUAAGUGUCUUGUAUUGUUAAACAUGUUCACAAACUGGACACAAUUAUGCUUUUAGGAAAUGUCCUCCAAAAGCGUCCCACAGUGAUAUUCCAAAUGUCUUACUCUUUAAUGGCUUACUACUGUGUAGUCAUCCAAAAUACUAUUUGAUAAUGUUUUGGUUUUGUUUUUUUAAAUGUUGUGCCCUAUUUGCAUGAGGUAAUGAUUCUCUACGAGAAUUGAACCGUCUUUUUCAAUAAUGUCCCAGUCAGAUAAAUAUGACCCACAAGGUUUCGGAGCAUUAUUUUACCUUACUUACCUGCUAAAGCGGGCCGUGGUCCUGUGUGGAAUGUGUACUUGUGACUUGUGGAAGUUCUGUAUGGAAAUUCAAUUGAUAAGUUGUUAUAAUAAACUUUUUAAUAGCU